ensembl:lncRNA
AAGCAGUAUCAACAGAUUGAAAUAAUGCUCCUGCAAUCUGCAAUCAAAACAGGAACAGUCUGCAUUUAAUGGCUAAUCCUCAUAUUUUUAUCAAGAUUCCUUUCCAACUUCCACAGGAUGGUGAAACACCUCUUCCCACAUGCCUCAGUGGGAAGACUUGCGGACCAGGCACUGGAAUUCUCUGAAGGCUUCUCCGAGCAUCUCUCCAUGUCUCUGAGCUCUCUCUCUGUGAUCUUGCUGGUCUGGUGGCUUCGGGGUAGCAGGAUAUCUUAUACAUUGUCUCCAAGCCUCAUGUUUUCAAAGAGAGAGUGGCAUAGAGAAUAGAAAGCCAGAAAAAGGUCUAGAUGCAGUGCCUUCAGCAAUAGCAAGGAGAAUAUGGCAAAGAGCUAAAUCACAUUGUCCACUACUGUGCUUGUCAGGCUAUGAGGACCCCUUUAGGUGCUUUGGGAACUUGAUGUUCAAUGGAAUUAUUUUUCACAUUCGUGGAAAGCAGUUUCUCUUAUGCUGCUCACCACAUGGUGGC